rnacentral:rRNA from 1 species
AUGGCUCGCAAGAAGGUGACCCUCCAGUACACCCCCAAUGACUCAACCCGGCGUGGUACCUUCAAGAAGCGCCACAGAGGCCUGAUGAAGAAGGCCAGCGAGUUGGCCAUCCUGUGUGACGUCAGGGCCUGCGUGCUGGUAUACGACGAGGGCGAGAUGGUGCCGGAGGUGUUCCCAUCCCACGUCGGGGCGGUGAAAAUCCUGAACAUUUUCAAGAACAUGCCGGAGCUAGAGCAGUAUAAGAAGAUGAUGAACCAGGAGGGCUUUCUCCGCGAGCGCAUCGACAAGCUCCGGGACCAGCUCCGCAAGUUCGGGCGCGAGGCCGGGACCACGAGAGAUCCUCCUGCACAAGGCCAUGUGUGGCAACCUCCCUAG